CUGACUGUGCAAAGGUAGCAUAAUCAGUUGGCUUUUAAUUAGAGUCUGGUAUGAACGAAAAUAUGGGUAGUAACUGUCUUAGCAUAUUUUUUCGAACUUAUUAAACAAGUGCAAAUGCUUGUAAUUUAACAAUAGACGAGAAGACCCUAGAAACUUGGACAAGUUUUUGUUGGGGCGACAGAAUUACACUUAACUAAUCUUAUAAUACACGACGCGAUGUUGAAAGAAUAAGUUACUCUAGGGAUAACAGCAUAAUUUCAUUAGUUUGUGACCUCUAUGUUGGACUAGGUACUAUACCCUUAAGGCAAGGAUAU
rnacentral:rRNA from 1 species